ACUCGGUGGGGCCGGAAGGGCACGUCCCGCCGUCUGCACCGGAAAGCAGAGAUCCGCUCGGACCUGGAACCGACGCUGCUCCCCACGAAGACAGUCAUUGGAGCGCGCCUGAUGGGGGUGCCCCCAGAGUACCCCCUUUUCCAGCCGGCCUGGGUGGAUCCUGAGAGCCAAAAAAGCAGUGCCCGUUUAGACUUCAUCACAGGAAGACAGCAUUCAGAAUGAGGAGGAAAUGUCCAUGGCGCAUGUACUCAGCAUAGCCAGCUACCUCCACUGCUUCUCCACCACAGUCCCAGUUUAAGGACAUUGAUAAGCUGGAGCACAACCUAGGAAGGCUGACCAGGAGGGAGAAGAGAGGAGGGGAGCAGGCUGCCACACUUUGGCCAGUCGAAGCUUCAUUCUCCUUCCUCCUAGUCCUUUCCUCCCUGAGCCACCACGUGGAAGAACCAGAACUGAAGAACAGACAUGGCCACAAGGCCUGGGUUGGCAUCCAGACCACCACUUGCUGACGAUGUGUUUGGGUACGUUACUCCAUCUCUCCAGCCUUCAUUCCUCAGCCUGUAAAAUGGGGAGGGAUGUUGGUCCCUGAUCCUUUCCAACUCUAAGGUUCUAUAGCUUUUUCAAUGAAAUUGUUGUGGAGAAGAAGACAUAAGGCUUCCCUAUCGAUUGGAAUAUUUAUACCAACCUACCACAAGGAAUAUUUCAUUAUACUAAGCCAUGUGAACAUGAAGAACAAGGUUAACUUGCUGAAGCAAUUUUAGGUUGGUUUUCCUCUUACUAGCUGAAAAAUCGACCCAGAUGUUUACCAAUAGGAUCGAUGGAUACAAAUAUCAAGUCAUACCUAUAUACUUAAGCAUUAAGCUCCAAAGAAAAUGACUUAUUAGAUACUCAAUAACGUUUGUUGAGGAAGGUAGAGGAAGAGACUCUCUGAAAGAUUUAAGUAUUUAAGUACUAUUUAAGAAUCAGA